rnacentral:rRNA from 1 species
GACGAACGCUGGCGGCGUGCCUAAUACAUGCAAGUAGAACGCUGAAGGAGGAGCUUGCUUCUCUGGAUGAGUUGCGAACGGGUGAGUAACGCGUAGGUAACCUGCCUUGUAGCGGGGGAUAACUAUUGGAAACGAUAGCUAAUACCGCAUAAUAUUAGAUGUUGCAUGACAUUUGCCUAAAAGGUGCACUUGCAUCACUACCAGAUGGACCUGCGUUGUAUUAGCUAGUUGGUGGGGUAACGGCUCACCAAGGCGACGAUACAUAGCCGACCUGAGAGGGUGAUAGGCCACACUGGGACUGAGAAACGGCCCAGACUCCUACGGGAGGCAGCAGUAGGGAAUCUUCGGCAAUGGACGGAAGUCUGACCGAGCAACGCCGCGUGAGUGAAGAAGGUUUUCGGAUCGGAAAGCUCUGUUGUAAGAGAAGAACGAGUGUGAGAGUGGAAAGUUCACACUGUGACGGUAUCUGACCAGAAAGGGACGGCUAACUACGUG